rnacentral:tRNA from 1 species
AGGACUAUAGUUAAUUAUAACAUUUGAAUUGCACUCAAAAAGUACUAUAUCUAUAUUAGUUGGUCUUA